AUCCUGGCUCAGAUUGAACGCUGGCGGAAUGCUUUACACAUGCAAGUCGAACGGCAGCGGACCUUCGGGUGCCGGCGAGUGGCGAACGGUGAGUAAUAUAUCGGAACGUACCUUUCAGUGGGGAUAACGUAGCGAAAGUUACGCUAAUACCGCAUAUUCUGUGAGCAGGAAAGCAGGGGAUCGCAAGACCUUGCGCUGAUUGAGCGGCCGAUAUCAGAUUAGCUAGUUGGUGAGGUAAAGGCUCACCAAGGCGACGAUCUGUAGCGGGUCUGAGAGGAUGAUCCGCCACACUGGAACUGAGACACGGUCCAGACUCCUACGGGAGGCAGCAGUGGGGAAUUUUGGACAAUGGGCGCAAGCCUGAUCCAGCCAUGCCGCGUGAGUGAAGAAGGCCUUCGGGUUGUAAAGCUCUUUCGGCCGGGAAGAAAUCGCACAGGUUAAUACCCUGUGUGGAUGACGGUACCGGAAUAAGAAGCACCGGCUAACUACGUG
rnacentral:rRNA from 1 species